AGAAAAUCAUGCUCUGCAUUUGGUGGGAUCAGGUCGGCGUCGUAUAUUUUGAGCUGCUCCAACCGGGCGAAACAAUCACGGGGGAUCGUUACCGACUGCAAUUGAUGCGUUUAAGCCGGGCAUUGAAAGAAAAACGGCCGGAAACGGUAAAAAGGCACGACAAGGUUAUUUUGCAACAUGACAACGCUCGGCCGCAUGUUGCUCAACCUGUCAAAAAAUACCUUGGAACGCUUGGCUGGGAAGUGUUACCCCUUCCGCCGUAUAGUCCAGACAUAGCUCCCUCCAAUUAUCAUUUGUUCCGGCAUAUGAGUCUCGAUUUGGCGGACCAGCGGUUCUCCUCGUACGAGGCUACCAAAACAUGGGUUGAGUCAUGGAUAGCCAAGCAGCGGCCAGAAUUUUGGAGAAACGGCAUCCGGAAAUUGCCCGAAAGAUGGGCGAAAGUUGUAGCUAGCGAUGGCCAAUACUUCGAAUAAAAUAUUUUGUACCGUUUUUUCACAAUAAAGCCCCAAAUCUUCGAAAAAAACCUUUAAAACUAAUUCAACCUCCAAUAAUUUUAGUAAGUUUUCCAAAAUGAUGUCCCACAUUUUAAAACUAAAAACAUUAACACUAAUAGUUAUUAAAUAAUGAACAAAUAAUAAUAUGAUCGAUACGUAUAAUAAAUGAAACGCAUGCCAUAUUUGAAAUGGCAUAUAAUCGCGAUUAAUUAUGUUGAUGAAAGACCGCAUACGAAGAUUUUUCGCACUAGCGCUUAUGGGAAUUUUCUGCUUACCGACGUCCAAGGCAUAUUGACGUAUUGGCAUAUUACAUAUAUACAUAAGUAAUACAGACGAUUGUAUUCACUUUUUUUAGAUAAAGAGGCAUAACUUCAUUUAAUACACCACAUAUUAUUUUUAUUGCCAAAAUAGCAACACAGAAAUACCCUUCAUGCGCAACGAAACUAAUCAGUUAUUCCUAAGCACAUUGACACUACUAAAAAAUAGUACGAUUUAAUUGAUCUUGCGCAGGCGAAGCGGGACGCAAUUAACAAAAAAAAAGCAAACAUAACGGUACUUUUCCUGUUAAAGAAGAUAGUCAUUACAAAAAACUUCUUGGCUAGUUAGAAAUGUGUACUGAGAGAUAAUUUAUGGGAAAAUCGAUAUACUGCUAGCACGUGAAAAGAGCUGGCAAAAAUUACACCUCAUUCAUACAGGGCAAUUUAUAUGUAUUACGCUUCAACAAGUUGGGGACGAGUUGAGAAUCAUAAAUUGGAAAAAAAUUAUUGAAAAUAAAAUAUUAUGAAAAUUCGCGCCACGCUGCUGCGUAUGUUUGGAACCAAUAAUGCCAGAAACCGGUGAAGAAGAAACUGUACGUGUCGUAGCGUUAGAUCGCAGUUUUCACUUCGGAUGUUAUAAAUGUGAAGACUGUGGUUUGUUGUUAUCGUCAGAAGCCGAGGGUCGUGGAUGCUAUCCUCUGGACGGACAUGUACUCUGUAAAAGUUGUAAUGCAAAACGUGUGCAAAUGCUAACAAGUCGCAUGGCAACAGAGUUAUAAACAAACUUAUUACUGUGACAUAUUAUGAAUAUUAUGUAUAAUUUCUACACUCGUAUGUAAAAUUAAAAUAAAUAAAAGUUCGUUUGGUUUGCUGACUUUUUAAAACCA